UCCUGAGAAGUUUUACAUCCACACAGGUC
rnacentral:piRNA from 1 species